rnacentral:rRNA from 1 species
GAUGAACGCUGGCGGCGUGCUUAACACAUGCGAGUCGAACGAUGAACCUCACUUGUGGGGGGAUUAGUGGCGAACGGGUGAGUAACACGUGAGUAACCUGCCCUUGACUCUGGGAUAAGCCUGGGAAACCGGGUCUAAUACUGGAUACGACCUUCUGGCGCAUGCCAUGUUGGUGGAAAGCUUUUGUGGUUUUGGAUGGACUCGCGGCCUAUCAGCUUGUUGGCGGGGUAAUGGCCUACCAAGGCGACGACGGGUAGCCGGCCUGAGAGGGUGAUCGGCCACACUGGGACUGAGACACGGCCCAGACGCCUACGGGAGGCAGCAGUGGGGAAUAGUGCACAAUGGGCGCAAGCCUGAUGCAGCGACGCCGCGUGAGGGAUGAAGGCCUUCGGGUUGUAAACCUCUUUCAGUAGGGAAGAAGCCGGCUUUUGGGUUGGUGACGGUACCUGCAGAAGAAGCGCCGGCUAACUACGUG